UACGGGGGGGCAAGCGUUGUUCGGAAUUACUGGGCGUAAAAGGGCUCGUAGGUGGCCAACUAAGUCAGACGUGAAAUCCCCAGGCUUAACCUGGGAACUGCGUCUGAUACUGGAUGGCUUGAAUUCGGGAGAGGGAUGCAGAAUUCCAGGUGUGAGCGGUGAAAUGCGUAGAUAUCGGGAGGAACACCAGUGGCGAAGGCGACUACCUGGCCUGUUCUUGACGCUGAGGCGCGAAAGCUAGGGGAGCAAACGGG
rnacentral:rRNA from 1 species